rnacentral:lncRNA from 1 species
UAUGGCAUGUUGAACACUUAGAAAACAAGUGUGGCACAAGUCCAAGAAUAUAGUAGUGUAUAUGACACAAGUGAUAGUAAAGAAUGCAAAGAAAAGAAUGACUGAAAUAUUAUGACAUUUCAACCCUAGGGUUAGGGUCAUUUGAGCAUAGUCUUCCUAAAGUUAAGGAAUGGAUUGAACUUGACAUCCUCAAGAUUUUGGAUUUGAUCAUUGAUCAUACUCACCUUUAGUCCUUGCUCGAGGUUGUGGUAGCUCCCCCUCAGAGGACGGUCCCAUCGGGUGUAGCGAGUAUCUCCCCGAUUAUUGGGAUUUUGAGUUGGUGAGUUUGUUGAGGGCGAAACCUUCAGGUUAGCCAAGAGAUGGGUAACAAGCACAUGAGCUGUAAUAAUAUCCUAAUUGAGUGGACUUAAGGCUGAGGUGCAAGUGAGACGUCCUUCGCCUCGAGCCUGCCUUUGCACGGUACUCCGCGAAUGAUUAACUCGAGACCGAGUCGGGUGGAUAGUUGGUAAAGGUAAAUAAGACCCUAUGAUCAUAAUGGUAAUUGAUAUGAGUUUAAAAUAGAGAAAUAACUUCGAGGUCAAUUGAACGAGCUAUGAAUAGCAAGAUUAAAGUAGUAUUGAUUGAACUACUAUUGGUUGCAUAAAUCGCAUGAUUUUCAUAUUGCAUGGUUGUGAGGCAUGACAUGUAUUUCAAUUAUCGCAUAUAUAUAUAUCUGUUGGAUAUUUGUUGGACUAACAUGUUGCAGUGCGUCCCUUGGACCUAUUGGUCGAGCUUUUCCCUUGGGUGGCCGUACCCACUGGGAACCAUGGAGUUGGUUUUCACCCCACGUUGUUUUGGGGUGUUACAGGUUCACACGUGAGCGGCGCGGAGGCGCAAGGCGAGGGCGUAGCUCUAUA